GUUUGCCCAGGACCCGUUUUGGCAUUGAGAGUCUAUUUGCCAGGAAACCGUCCAGUCCUGGCCGAAUGGGAACAGUGGGUCACCCAUUUCAGUGAGCGGCUAUGAAAGUUCGUUAUAACCCACUCGGACUGGGGGGAGGGCAACUUGAACACACCAUCUGGGGCUCAUGGGGUUGGCUGAGAGCAGUUUACAGGACCUCCCAUGGCUGAAGGAGUUUCAAGCAUCCAUCCAAUCAGCUGUCUUCUAAAGCAGAGAUCAGAGCAAUCCUGCCAGGGACACUUUCCCGGGGAGUCCAACACAUUCUACCCCCGACCUCUUGUCACUUUGAAAGGCAGGCAGCUCCACCCACCUAGCCCCAGGACCAGGAGGCCAGGCAUCCUCCUCCACAGCCUCGCAGCCUUCCGAGGGAAGCAGCUGGUUCUGCCUCUCCACACCCAGACACGGCUCCUUCUGAACUUUUUCUUCCAGGAUGUGCUAAGGUCACCCCAGGCAUGAGAGCUGGCUAAAUCCCAUCUGCUGCUCUCAGAUACCUUCAUGGAGAAAAUGUCAGGGGUUCCAAGAGACUUCACAGACCAGCGAAGUAUGCUCCCUCCCUUUUUUGUCUAUGGGGUCUUCAAGGCCAGAGUCAUUUGUCUGGCAACACUGGAAUGAUCCAGGGUGCUGCUAGCAUCCUGUGCAGUCUCUGAUCUGGGCGGAUAGAUGCAGCAGGUGCCUCUGAGGGACCAGGGGUAAAACCCAGGCCUGCUUAGCUGUUGGGGGCCAUUCAUUGACUCCCUUAGCCUCUCACUGAGUUGUGUGCUCAAGGAGGCAGGGAGCAGAGGGUCGCAUCUCAUCACCCCCGUUCUGUGUUAGAGUCACUGCUCGAGCGUGAGGACCUGAGCUGUGAGCCGCUGCAGGGGCUAGUUCACAACUGGUCGUCACUGUCCAUCUUUUCUAGAAAAAGCACCUCUGAUUAACAGUGCAACAGGUGGUUUGUGGGCGGUGGUUGUUGCAUAUACAGGGCAGCUUUGCCUUGCCGGAGCUCAUGCAUCUGCCAGUGUGCCAGCGUUAGAGCCCCUUUAUACCAGAGGUGGGCCAUGAUCCUGAUGGCUUGGUGCCACUGAGGUGGCUGCUGCUUUUACAUUAAAAAACUCUCAUGGCAACAGGAAAUGUACCGGGAACGAUGAGAAGUCUGUUCAGUGGGGAAGGCCCUGGUGCAUACUUGAUGGAUCCAUUGGCAUUCAGAGAAGUUUACAGGCCAACUUCUUAGUUGGGAGCCUAGCCAGCUUUUGGGACCUCCCUGGGAAGUGGGGAGGAGGUUGGGAGGGGGGUGACUUAGUGGAGGAUGUGAAGCGAGGAGAGUUUAGGACACCCCAUCCCACCUAAACAGAACAAAACUUAAGUUUUCCCCCCCAAUCCACUGUUCCUUGGAAAUCUGUAAAGAGGACAUAACCCUUCUCAGUUGUACUCUCAUGAUACAGGUCAUUGAAAUGAACCAAGAAAUAAAAUGGAAAAAAAAUCCAACCACAGAGAAGGUGGUAUUGGCUGGGUUUUGUUUGGUGCCCGUGUCCCCACACUUUCUCGAGAUUCUAGACUGGCUUUGGCACAUGUGAACCUUGAUAAGGGCUCGCAGUUUUGGUACAGAGGAAGCUUCAGUGAUUCCCAGGGCACAAUUUAAGAACCGAGUAGGAAGACCAGAGCAGGAUGUUGGGUGGGAGGCAGUGGCAGGGCCUUAGAGGAGCUGGAGUCUGCACCCGCCCCCUGGGUCAGGGGCCACCCUUCCCUCCAGGGUCCCCCCAGCCCCUCAACAGAAGGCAGAGGGGGUUGUGGCGAGGGGACAGAGGCCCAUGCCACGGAAGAGCACCAAAGAAAAGCACUAUGUGGAGAUUGUUUUAUUUUCUAAUAAGGAUAAUGUGGCUGGAAUGGCUUCUUAAGAUGUAUAUAUUUUUUAAAAUGAUGGUCCCUUAUUGCAUCACCACCCCUGUACAUACUCCCACCUCUGUAUGUGUUCUCCCAAAUGCCCUAGGAGUCUUCCCAUCCUGGUCCCAUGUAUCUGGAAUCUAAUAAAUAAGGAAUAGCCUAUCAAGAGAGUCUCUUAACACAUUAUCUUGGCUGGCGGGCUGUCCGCUGGACAGCACUGCCUGCAGGUCUCAGGCUGAUGCUAGGAGAGGCCAUCGGGAGAACCAACUUGGCCUCAGGGUUCUCUGGGGGUUCAAAUGGGCAUUAAAAUGUGUUCAGCG
ensembl:lncRNA